AGACCAUGGUGGGGACAGAGUCCAGGCAUUUCCUUGAAACACUCCCACGCACCAUAAAGGGAUUUCCCAUCUUUUUGAGUGAAUUGGUAGAGUCUUGCCCUUAGUUU